rnacentral:rRNA from 1 species
UGCCUGAUGGAGGGGGAUAACUACUGGAAACGGUAGCUAAUACCGCAUAACGUCGCAAGACCAAAGAGGGGGACCUUCGGGCCUCUUGCCAUCGGAUGUGCCCAGAUGGGAUUAGCUAGUAGGUGGGGUAACGGCUCACCUAGGCGACGAUCCCUAGCUGGUCUGAGAGGAUGACCAGCCACACUGGAACUGAGACACGGUCCAGACUCCUACGGGAGGCAGCAGUGGGGAAUAUUGCACAAUGGGCGCAAGCCUGAUGCAGCCAUGCCGCGUGUAUGAAGAAGGCCUUCGGGUUGUAAAGUACUUUCAGCGGGGAGGAAGGGAGUAAAGUUAAUACCUUUGCUCAUUGACGUUACCCGCAGAAGAAGCACCGGCUAACUCCGUGCCAGCAGCCGCGGUAAUACGGAGGGUGCAAGCGUUAAUCGGAAUUACUGGGCGUAAAGCGCACGCAGGCGGUUUGUUAAGUCAGAUGUGAAAUCCCCCGGGCUCAA